CCCUUAGAUGUUCUGGGCCGCACGCGCGCUACACUGAUGCAUUCAACGAGUCUAAAACCUGGUCUGAUAGGGCUGGGUAAUCUUUUGAAUGUGCAUCGUGAUUGGGAUAGAUGAUUGCAAUUCUUCAUCUUCAACGAGGAAUGCCUAGUAAACGCAAGUCAUCAGCUUGCAUUGAUUACGUCCCUGCCCUUUGUACACACCGCCCGUCGCUCCUACCGAUUGAAUGUUCCGAUGAAUACCAUGGACUGAGAGUAUGAAUGGGUUCGCCUAUUUCUGCUUCUCGGGAAGUGGAGUAAAUCUCAACAUUUAGAGGAAGGAGAAGUCGUAACA
rnacentral:rRNA from 1 species